rnacentral:rRNA from 1 species
UGGGGGAUAUUGCACAAUGGGCGAAAGCCUGAUGCAGCGACGCCGCGUGGGGGAUCAAGGCCUUCGGGUUGUAAACUUCUUUUGCUCUGAACAAGGCAUGCUAAUGGGUGUGUUGAGUGUAGGGGUUGAUUAGCGCCGGCUAACUACGUGCCAGCAGCCGCGGUAAUACGUAGGGCGCGAGCGUUGUCCGGAAUUAUUGGGCGUAAAGGGCUUGUAGGUGGCUGGUUGCGUCUGUCGUGAAAGCUCAUGGCUUAACUGUGGGUUUGCGGUGGGUACGGGCUGGCUUGAGUGCAGUAGGGGAGGCUGGAAUUCCUGGUGUAGCGGUGGAAUGCGCAGAUAUCAGGAGGAAUACCGGUGGCGAAGGCGGGUCUCUGGGCUGUUACUGACACUGAGGAGCGAAAGCAUGGGGAGCGAACAGG